rnacentral:rRNA from 1 species
ACGCACGCUGGCGGCGUGCUUAACACAUGCAAGUCGAACGGAAAGGCCCUGCUUUUGUGGGGUGCUCGAGUGGCGAACGGGUGAGUAACACGUGAGUAACCUGCCCUUGACUUUGGGAUAACUUCAGGAAACUGGGGCUAAUACCGGAUAGGAGCUCCUGCUGCAUGGUGGGGGUUGGAAAGUUUCGGCGGUUGGGGAUGGACUCGCGGCUUAUCAGCUUGUUGGUGGGGUAGUGGCUUACCAAGGCUUUGACGGGUAGCCGGCCUGAGAGGGUGACCGGCCACAUUGGGACUGAGAUACGGCCCAGACUCCUACGGGAGGCAGCAGUGGGGAAUAUUGCACAAUGGGCGGAAGCCUGAUGCAGCAACGCCGCGUGCGGGAUGACGGCCUUCGGGUUGUAAACCGCUUUCGCCUGUGACGAAGCGUGAGUGUCGGUAAUGGGUAAAGAAGCACCGGCUAACUACGUG